ACGCGCACAGCCAGCCGCUUGCAGCUUCGUGAACCUCAUAUUGUCACUAACAGCCCCACAGCCAUAGCCUCACGGGACCACCGAGAGACAGGCUUGUGCUGGCAGCGUGUGUGGUCUGCAGCUGAAGCAGAACCAGAUGAGGAUUAGGCAUACAGCAGCCAGCACUGUGCCCAGUCACAGCUCCAGAACCAUGUCCAGGUGAAUGCUCCUGCUGAGGAAACACGAUGGGCUGGAAAUAACAAAUUGGGGUGGGAGGCUGGAAAACAUGGAAGUGAAGGAAGAGAAUGCAGAUGGAGGAAAACAGAUGUGAAACAGAGACUGUACUUCGAAGUAUCACCAUCAUAAAACCUUACAAAGUUCAAAGAAAUGAAUUUCCAAAGAUAUAAAAAGUACAAAUUCAA